CCUACGGGAGGCAGCAGUAAGGAAUAUUGGUCAAUGGACGCAAGUCUGAACCAGCCAUGCCGCGUGAAGGAUGAAGGCCCUCUGGGUUGUAAACUUCUUUUACAGGGGACGAAAAAAGGGAAUUCUUUCUCACUUGACGGUACCCUGGGAAUAAGCACCGGCUAACUCCGUGCCAGCAGCCGCGGUAAUACGGAGGGUGCAAGCGUUAUCCGGAUUCACUGGGUUUAAAGGGUGCGUAGGUGGGCAUUUAAGUCAGUGGUGAAAUCUCCGGGCUUAACCCGGAAACUGCCAUUGAUACUAUUUGUCUUGAAUAUUGUGGAGGUAAGCGGAAUAUGUCAUGUAGCGGUGAAAUGCUUAGAUAUGACAUAGAACACCCAUUGCGAAGGCAGCUUACUACGCAAAUAUUGACACUGAGGCACGAAAGCGUGGGGAUCAAACAGGAUUAGAUACCCUGGUAGUCCACGCCCUAAACGAUGGAUACUCGACAUCAGCGAUACACAGUUGGUGUCUGAGCGAAAGCAUUAAGUAUCCCACCUGGGAAGUACGACCGCAAGGUUGAAACUUAAAGAGUAGUGACGUGNGAGACGCGACGACGACGACGACGGAGGAGGAGG
rnacentral:rRNA from 1 species